rnacentral:rRNA from 1 species
GAUGAACGCUGGCGGCGUGCUUAACACAUGCAAGUCGAGCGAGUGAAUUUCCUUCGGGAUUGAAGCUAGCGGCGGACGGGUGAGUAACACGUGGGCAACCUGCCUCAUAGAGGGGAAUAGCCUUUCGAAAGGAAGAUUAAUACCGCAUAAGAUUGUAGCUUCGCAUGAAGUAGCAAUUAAAGGAGUAAUCCGCUAUGGGAUGGGCCCGGGGCGCAUUAGCUAGUUGGUGAGGUAACGGCUCACCAAGGCGACGAUGCGUAGCCGACCUGAGAGGGUGAUCGGCCACAUUGGGACUGAGACACGGCCCAGACUCCUACGGGAGGCAGCAGUGGGGAAUAUUGCACAAUGGGGGAAACCCUGAUGCAGCAACGCCGCGUGAGUGAUGACGGCCUUCGGGUUGUAAAGCUCUGUCUUCAGGGACGAUAAUGACGGUACCUGAGGAGGAAGCCACGGCUAACUACGUGCCAGCAGCCGCCGUAA